AGAGACAGCAGUAGCCGCGGGAAUACGUAGGUGGCAAGCGUUGUCCGGAAUUAUUGGGCGUAAAGGGCUCGCAGGCGGUUUCUUAAGUCUGAUGUGAAAGCCCCCGGCUCAACCGGGGAGGGUCAUUGGAAACUGGGAAACUUGAGUGCAGAAGAGGAGAGUGGAAUUCCACGUGUAGCGGUGAAAUGCGUAGAGAUGUGGAGGAACACCAGUGGCGAAGGCGACUCUCUGGUCUGUAACUGACGCUGAGGAGCGAAAGCGUGGGGAGCGAACAGGAUUAGAUACCCCAGUAGUCCCUGUCUCUUAUAC
rnacentral:rRNA from 1 species